rnacentral:misc_RNA from 1 species
UGCACAUGUACAUACAUAUUCAGUACUUCUUCUAUAAUUUUAACAGAUUUAGCAUUGAAAGUGACUGUGAUAUAUAAAUAUGUAUUGCAUGUGUAUAAUAUUUCAUAUUUUAUUCAAUUUGGUUUCCACUUCUUUGUUAUGAAGUAAAUGUCUAUGGACUUGGAGCUUGAAGACACAAUGGUGCUUAUCGCUUAAAUAACUUUUACGGAAAAGUGCAAGCCGUUGCCACUUUUUUUGUUGUUUCUACACAUAUUUUUGGAAAUGCCUAUAGUCAGGGUGGAAGGAUUGUUUCGAAGCUAAAAAUCGGAUCUAGAUGCGGGCAGCGGUCUUCUUCUUUUUUACAACAAGUCGGGUAACCGGAAGCUGAGCACUUCAGAUGAACCGUUACCGAGAUAUCGGGUCAACAGGAAGUUUCUCCGAAAAAAAAGCUGCUGAAGUCUGGUCACAAAAUUUGGUGGAAACAUGUGGUCUGUCAACCCCUUUACAUAUGGU